ACGGGAGGCAGCAGUGAGGAAUAUUGGUCAAUGGACGGAAGUCUGAACCAGCCAAGUCGCGUGAAGGAAGACGGUUCUAUGGAUUGUAAACUUCUUUUGCCUGAGGGUAAAGGCCGGUACGUGUACCGGUUUGCAAGUAUCAGGUGAAUAAGCAUCGGCUAACUCCGUGCCAGCAGCCGCGGUAAUACGGAGGAUGCGAGCGUUAUCCGGAUUUAUUGGGUUUAAAGGGUGCGUAGGCGGGAUGUUAAGUCAGCGGUGAAAGUUUGCGGCUCAACCGUAAAAUUGCCGUUGAAACUGGCGUUCUUGAGUGUAAACGAGGUAGGCGGAAUGUGACGUGUAGCGGUGAAAUGCUUAGAUAUGUCACAGAACCCCGAUUGCGAAGGCAGCUUACCAGCAUACAACUGACGCUGAGGCACGAAAGCGUGGGUAUCAAACAGGAUUAGAUACCCUGGUA
rnacentral:rRNA from 1 species